rnacentral:lncRNA from 1 species
GCAUUAGCAGUGACUGUGAAUCUAUACUAACACCAAACAAGACAUGAUUUUGAGGAUCAGAGUUCACAUCUUGAUCCACCAAGCAUCCUCUUCCAGGAAGCGGUGCCAAUGCAGAGCUAUGAGGUAUACUGGCUGGUGCAGAGUCCAAUUGUUCCAUCUGGGACGAAACCUGAGGCCGAGAAGGAAGCAAAGACUCCACUGCAACACGCUUCGAUGACCAUGGGUCGGAGACAGGUAUUGCAGUGGGCCUCGGCAUACUGAGGUGAGAAACUGCUUCUGAUGAGAAUGGCCUCAGUGUAUUUUGCAUGGUGUUGGUGUUGGAUGGAGACAAUGAGCUUACAUUUGUAUCUGUAAAG